CGAGGACACGUGUCUGAGGAGUGAUAGUGAGCGUUGGCUGACUUUUGCAGUGUUGAAUUACAAACCUCAGAUAAAGAAGAUCAACACAAAAGCAGGAUCAUUUUGUGGAUGCCAUGAUGUUUGAUGGGUUGGAUCGGCUGCAUAUCAGGUUCCCAAACUUGGUGGCGUGUUUCUUUAGCGUUGAUCAAAGGGAGGAGAGCCGUUGACGUGUCACACGCCGGAUGUUGUGGAUGAGCUCAGGAGAGUUGGACAUUGAGGUUUAUCAGAGAUUCUGUGCCCAUUGACUGCCAUUAUAUGACUGACAGACUGCAACGGUUUGAGUUAAAAACCUUCGUUUGUGUUCUACUGAAGAAACAAAGUCACCUACAUCUUGGAUGUCCUGGGGGCACAGGUUGGCCAGGCGGAGGAGAGCGGCGGAAAGAUGGAGGUGAUGGCAGGGGCGACUCUUCCAGAAUCUCAAGCAGCUUCCACUUCCCCCUCCCUCUCUUUUUGGAAACGGCCAAGUUCGUAAAUGUACCCUGUUUUAUGUGGCAGCAGAACAGAGGCGAACGAACGUCUCCCCUGGGUGCUAUUUUAGCUCAUGUUCAUUUCGCUGUCUUUUCCCUCCGCUCACUGUUGUCGAGUCUGAUGCAUUAACUCGCAAUCUUCUGAAAGCAAGGCUGAAAAAAUGACUGUUUUGACACAAUCGUAAUAGUCAUUUUCACGCAAGAUUACAUUCUCUGCGUAUCGUGAGUAGCUGUGUCAAAAGAGCGGACUAUAAAAUAGGAAAACUAAUAAAUCGGGGUACGAUUCAGCAAAUUCUAAUUCACUUGUGCUCAUCUAGACCCAAAAACAAUU